GAUGAACGCUAGCUACAGGCUUAACACAUGCAAGUCGAGGGGCAGCGGGAUUGAAGCUUGCUUCAAUUGCCGGCGACCGGCGCACGGGUGAGUAACGCGUAUCCAACCUUCCGUACACUCAGGGAUAGCCUUUCGAAAGAAAGAUUAAUACCUGAUGGUAUGAUGAGAUUGCAUGAUAGCAUCAUUAAAGAUUUAUCGGUGUACGAUGGGGAUGCGUUCCAUUAGGUAGUAGGCGGGGUAACGGCCCACCUAGCCUACGAUGGAUAGGGGUUCUGAGAGGAAGGCCCCCCCACAUUGGAACUGAGACACGGUCCAAACUCCUACGGGAGGCAGCAGUGUGGAAUAUUGGUCAAUGGACGAGAGUCUGAACCGGCCAAGUAGCGUGAAGGAUGACUGCCCUAUGGGUUGUAAACUUCUUUUAUAUGGGAAUAAAGUAUUCCACGUGUGGGAUUUUGUAUGUACCAUAUGAAUAAGGAUCGGCUAACUCCGUGCCAG
rnacentral:rRNA from 1 species